GAGCAUACAGGUGGCAGGUGUUGGGCUGAUAAGUCCACUUAUCUGGCAGGUGAAAAGGAGACCUGAGGAGCCCCAGAUCACAGAUACCUGGAGGGUGGAUGUGUCUGUCCUGGCCCCGGCGUCUGCACGAGUCUCGCUUUGUCACCCAGGAUGGAGUGCAGUGGCACAGCCUCAGAUCACUGCAGCCUCAACCCCCUGAGAUCAAGUGAUACUCCUACUUUAGCUUCCCAAGUAGCUGGGACUACAGGUAUGCACCACCACACCUGGCUAAUUUUUGUCUUUUUUGUAAUGAUGGGGUUUUAUCAUGUUGCCCAGGCUGGUCUUAAAUUCCUAGGUUCAAGCAAUCCUCCCACUUCGCCUCCCAAGGUGUUGAGAUUACAGGCGUGAGAUGCCAUGCCAGGCCUUUCUAUUGAUUUUUUUUUUUAAAAGCUAUCUUGAAUCUUUUAAAUUGUUACUAUAGAUAUGCAAUACAUAUCCUUAACUUCUCAUAGGCUACUUAAUGUUGUACACUGAAUAAAACAUAGAGAUCCUACAACCACACAGAUCCACUCAUUUCCUCCCCCA
rnacentral:lncRNA from 10 species